GUAACACGUGGGUAACCUGCCCAUCAGAAGGGGAUAACACUUGGAAACAGGUGCUAAUACCGUAUAACAAUCAAAACCGCAUGGUUUUGAUUUGAAAGGCGCUUUCGGGUGUCGCUGAUGGAUGGACCCGCGGUGCAUUAGCUAGUUGGUGAGGUAACGGCUCACCAAGGGCACGAUGCAUAGCCGACCUGAGAGGGUGAUCGGCCACAUUGGGACUGAGACACGGCCCAAACUCCUACGGGAGGCAGCAGUAGGGAAUCUUCGGCAAUGGACGAAAGUCUGACCGAGCAACGCCGCGUGAGUGAAGAAGGUUUUCGGAUCGUAAAACUCUGUUGUUAGAGAAUAACAAGGAUGAGAGUAACUGUUCAUCCCUUGACGGUAUCUAACCAGCAAGCCACGGCUAACUACGUGCCAGCAGCCGCGGUAAUACGUAGGUGGCAAGCGUUGUCCGGAUUUAUUGGGCGUAAAGCGAGCGCAGGCGGUUUCUUAAGUCUGAUGUGAAAGCCCCCGGCUCAACCGGGGAGGGUCAUUGGAAACUGGGAGACUUGAGUGCAGAAGAGGAGAGUGGAAUUCCAUGUGUAGCGGUGAAAUGCGUAGAUAUAUGGAGGAACACCAGUGGCGAAGGCGGCUCUCUGGUCUG
rnacentral:rRNA from 1 species